rnacentral:rRNA from 1 species
AACGAACGCUGGCGGCGUGGAUAAGACAUGCAAGUCGAACGCUAAUUAGAAGGUAUCAAUAUUUUCUAGUUGGAGUGGCGCAAGGGUGCGUAACACGUGGGUAAUCUGCCAUGAAGACUGGGAUAACUCGCUGAAAGGCGAGCUAGUACCGGAUGUGACUGUCGGGAGGCAUCUUCUGACAUUCGAAGCUGGGGACCGCAAGGCCUGGCGCUUCAUGAUGAGCCUGCGGCCUAUCAGCUAGUUGGUGAGGUAACGGCCCACCAAGG